rnacentral:rRNA from 1 species
UGCAGCGACGCCGCGUGAAGGAAGAAGUAUCUCGGUAUGUAAACUUCUAUCAGCAGGGAAGAAAAUGACGGUACCUGAAUAAGAAGCCCCGGAUAACUACGUCCCAGCAGCCGCGGUAAUACGUAGGGGGCAAGCGUUAUCCGGAUUUACUGGGUGUAAAGGGAGCGUAGACGGAUGGACAAGUCUGAUGUGAAAGGCUGGGGCUCAACCCCGGGACUGCAUUGGAAACUGCCCGUCUUGAGUGCCGGAGAGGUAAGCGGAAUUCCUAGUGUAGCGGUGAAAUGCGUAGAUAUUAGGAGGAACACCAGUGGCGAAGGCGGCUUACUGGACGGUAACUGACGUUGAGGCUCGAAAGCGUGGGGAGCAAACAGGAUUAGAUACCCUGGUAGUCCACGCGGUAAACGAUGAAUGCUAGGUGUCGAGUGACGAAGUCAUUCGGUGCCGCCGCAAACGCAUUAAGCAUUCCACCUGGGGAGUACGUUCGCAAGAAUGCAACGGAAAGGAAUUGACGG